AUGGGACAGGAGGGGCACCAUGGGGGCACCAGCCACUCAGCCCAGCCGCCCCCCCUCCUGCCACACUCGCCCAAGGCCUCUCCCCGGUCCCCCUCCCCCUGGUCCCUCGAAGAUACAGCGGUAAUCCCCCUGUUCUCAGAGUGCAAAGCCCCAAAAGAAGGCGACCUUGUGAGCCUGGCCUGCUUGGUCAAGGGCUACUUCCCAGAGCCGGUGCAGGUCACUUGGGAGACAGAGAUGCAGAAGCAGAAGCCACAGACCUUCCCGGCCAUGAAGAAAGGACAAGAGCACAUCCAUGUCUUCUCCCUAACCACCUGGUGGAAGCCUGGCUCACACAGCUGCACUGUUCACCACAAAGCCUCCUCCUUCCAGAAGAAGACGACCUUCCAGGAGCCAGAGUGUCAGAACCACACCCACCCUCCCAGUAUCUACCUGCUGCACCCUCCCCUGCAGGGCCUCUGGCUCAAGGGAGAGGCCACCUUCACCUGCCUGGUGGUGGGGGAUGACCUGAAGGAGGCCCACUUGUCCUGGGAGCUGUCCGAGCGAUCCAACAGGAUGUUCGUGGAGAGCGGGCCGCUGGAGCAGCAUACCAAUGGCUCCCAGAGCCGGAGCAGCCGCCUGGCCCUGCCCAGGUCCUCAUGGGCCAUGGGGACCUCCGUCACCUGCAAGCUGAGCUACACCAACCUACUGUCCAGCAUGGAGGUGGUGGGGCUGAAAGAACACGGUGAGGCCGGCUCCAGGACGGGUAGGGGAGACAGGGCAGCCUCGGCUCCUUGCACCCCAACCCCAGCCCAGCCACUGCUCUGGCAUCACCCUCGAGGAGAGGUCCAUGGGGCUGGGACCUCAGCCUCCAGCAGCCAGAGCAUGACCCAGCUUCUCCCCACAGCUGCCUCUGCACCCAGGAGCCUCACUGUCCACGCCCUGACCACACCAGGCCUGAACGCCUCUCCCGGGGCCGCCUCCUGGCUCCAGUGCAAGGUGUCCGGCUUCUCGCCCCCCGAGAUCGUCCUCACCUGGCUGGAGGGCCAGCGCGAGGUGGACCCUUCUUGGUUUGCCACCGCACGCCCCACGGCCCAGCCUGGGAAUACCACGUUCCAGACCUGGAGUAUCCUGCUGGUCCCAACCAUCCCGGGCCCUCCGACAGCCACCUACACAUGUGUGGUUGGGCAUGAGGCCUCCCGGCAGCUCCUCAACACCAGCUGGAGCCUGGACACUGGCGGUCUGGCCAUGACCCCAGAGAGCAAGGAUGAGAACAGCGAUGACUAUGCGGACCUGGACGAUGCCGGCAGCCUGUGGCUCACGUUCAUGGCCCUCUUCCUCAUCACCCUGCUGUACAGUGGCUUUGUCACCUUCAUCAAGGUGAAAUAGCCCCGCCGGACAGUGGACGCCCUGAACUGCACAGAAGGGAAGCUUGGCCUGCGUGCCGUCCAUCGCUGCUGGAGGGCAGCUGGCCUCCAACUCCGCCCUGCCUGGGGAGGCGCUCCCGCCCCACCUCCUCCCGGCCUGGCUCACCUCCAUCCACCGCACCGCCCAGCACUCGACCCGGGAGGAGGGGCCACGGGGCAGGGCAGCAGGUCUCCACCGGCCUAGGCCUGCGCUUCCCCCAGAGCCAGUGGU